rnacentral:tRNA from 1 species
AGCGGGGUAGAGUAAUGGUUAACUCGCCAGAAUCAUGUUCUGAAGAUUGCAGGUUCGAAUCCUGUCCCCGCGU